UUUGGGUGUCUCGAAUUCCUUGGCAGGGUCUGAAGCUGGUGGUGUUUGCAAACCUCCUGUACUCUGAGUCCAUGAGCUUCACUGCCAACAAAAUCCACUCAAAGGAUCACAUCAGGAUUAUUUCUGUUGCUGUUGGCCUGGUGAACCUAAAGACCGAGCUUUUCUCUAAGAACCAACACAAGAGCAGCAGCCAGGUCUGCAGAGACGGUGUGCAGGAAGACGGGCAGCGGCUGGGAGUGCUUUCAUUUUCCUGGGGCUCUGCGUGUGUGCGAACAUCCUGGGGGGAGCCCUCUCGGGGAAGAGCUGCAGAGCCCCCGGCUGUGUGCAGCGCCGAUAAGGAGAUGAAACAAUGGUGCUGCGACACUGAGAGCGCCGCACAAUUACUUGGGUCCUGA
rnacentral:lncRNA from 1 species